GACGAACGCUGGCGGCGUGCUUAACACAUGCAAGUCGAACGGAAAGGCCCUGCUUUUGUGGGGUGCUCGAGUGGCGAACGGGUGAGUAACACGUGAGUAACCUGCCCUUGACUUUGGGAUAACUUCAGGAAACUGGGGCUAAUACCGGCUAGGAGCUCCUGCUGCAUGGUGGGGGUUGGAAAGUUUCGGCGGUUGGGGAUGGACUCGCGGCUUAUCAGCUUGUUGGUGGGGUAGUGGCUUACCAAGGCUUUGACGGGUAGCCGGCCUGAGAGGGUGACCGGCGACAUUGGGACUGAGAUACGGCCCAGACUCCUACGGGAGGCAGCAGUGGGGAAUAGUGCACAACGGGCGGAAGCCUGAUGCAGCAACGCCGCGUGCGGGAUGACGGCCUUCGGGUUGUAAACCGCUUUCGCCUGUGACGAAGCGUGAGUGACGGUAAUGGGUAAAGAAGCACCGGCUAACUACGUG
rnacentral:rRNA from 1 species